UCUGGGUUAAUACCUCGGGCUAAUGACGGUACCGUAAGAAUAAGCACCGGCUAACUACGUGCCAGCAGCCGCGGUAAUACGUAGGGUGCAAGCGUUAAUCGGAAUUACUGGGCGAAAGCGUGCGCAGGCGGUGAUGUAAACAGGCGUGAAAUCCCCGGGCUCAACCUGGGAAUUGCGNAUUGUGACUGCAUCGCUGGAGUGCGGCAGAGGGGGAUGGAAUUCGCGUGUAGCAGUGAAAUGCGUAGAUAUGCGGAGGAACACCGAUGGCGAAGGCAAUCCCCUGGGCCUGCACUGACGCUCAUGCACGAAAGCGUGGGGAGCAAACAGGAUUAGAUACCCUGGUAGUCCACGCCCUAAACGAUGUCAACUGGUUGUUGGGUCUCUUCUGACUCAGUAACGAAGCUAACGCGUGAAGUUGACCGCCUGGGGAGUACGGCCGCAAGGUGGAAACUCAAA
rnacentral:rRNA from 1 species